AAACUUUACAACAGCAGAAUGAGUUACUAAAGGAAUAUGAGCAAGAGCAGGAGGCUCAUAGUAUCCUGAAUUCGUUGUGCGAUUGUAUGUCAAACAACGAGAAGUCACUAAAGGUCUCUCUGGCUGAAGCUGAGAGGAAAUAUGAGCAGGCGAUGGAGUCCAACGCUCAGCUAGAGAACGAGAAAUCGGACCUGUUGUCCCAGAUGAACAUAUUGCAAAGCUCAGUGAAGCAGCUGGAGGAAGAGCUCACUGAGACCCAGAAAAUGCAUGAUGAGAUAACAAAUGACUAUGAGAUAUCACAGUGCAUUUACAAGUACAUGAUCUCUCGAUACAAUUCGAUGGAGUACCGUUUAAAUGAGAAAAUUGACUCACUAAGGGCCACUGUGGCUUUAACUGAGAUGAAAUACCAG
ensembl:lncRNA